GAUGAAGAACGCAGCGAAAUGCGAUAAGUAAUGUGAAUUGCAGAAUUCAGUGAAUCAUCGAAUCUUUGAACGCACAUUGUGCCCGCCAGUAUUCUGGCGAGCAUGCCUGUUCGAGCGUCAUUUCAACCAUCAAGCCCCAGGCUUGUGUUGGAGCCCUGCGGCUGCCGCAGCCUCCCAAAACCAGUGGCGGGCUCGCUAUCACACCGAGUGCAGUAGUUUACUCUUCGCUCAGGGCGUGUGGCGGGUGCUAGCCGUGAAACCCCCAACUUCUCAAGGUUGACCUCUGAUCAGGUAGGAAUACCCGCUGAACUUAAGCAUAUCAAUAAGCGGAGGA
rnacentral:misc_RNA from 1 species